rnacentral:lncRNA from 1 species
CAGAGCCAGAAAAUGCUGACAGCCUCAUGCUGGUGGACUUCGAGUACAGCAGUUAUAACUAUAGGGGCUUUGACAUUGGGAACCAUUUUUGUGAGUGGGUUUAUGAUUAUACUCACGAGGAAUGGCCUUUCUACAAAGCAAGGCCCACAGACUACCCCACUCAAGAACAGCAGAGGCAAAGAAAGGUGAGACCCUCUCCCAAGAGGAGCAGAGAAAACUGGAAGAAGAUUUGCUGGUAGAAGUCAGUCGGUAUGCUCUGGCAUCCCAUUUCUUCUGGGGUCUGUGGUCCAUCCUCCAGGCAUCCAUGUCCACCAUAGAAUUUGGUUACUUGGACUAUGCCCAGUCUCGGUUCCAGUUCUACUUCCAGCAGAAGGGGCAGCUGACCAGUGUCCACUCCUCAUCCUGACUCCACCCUCCCACUCCUUGGAUUUCUCCUGGAGCCUCCAGGGCAGGACCUUGGAGGGAGGAACAACGAGCAGAAGGCCCUGGCGACUGGGCUGAGCCCCCAAGUGAAACUGAGGUUCAGGAGACCGGCCUGUUCCUGAGUUUGAGUAGGUCCCCAUGGCUGGCAGGCCAGAGCCCCGUGCUGUGUAUGUAACACAAUAAACAAGCUUCUUCUUCCCA